AUUGAACGCUGGCGGCAGGCCUAACACAUGCAAGUCGAACGAGUGGCGGACGGGUGAGUAAUGUCUGGGAAACUGCCCGAUGGAGGGGGAUAACUACUGGAAAAGGUAGCUAAUAACGCAUACCAUCGGAUGUGCCCAGAUGGGAUUAGCUAGUAGGUGGGGUAAUGGCUCACCUGGGCGACGAUCCCUAGCUGGUCUGAGAGGAUGACCAGCCACACUGGGACUGAGACACGGUCCAGACUCCUACGGGAGGCAGCAGUGGUGAAUAUUGCACAAUGGGCGCAAGCCUGGUGCAGCCAUGCCGCAUGUAUGAAGAAGGCCUUCGGGUUGUAAAGUACUUUCAGCGAGGAGGCGUUCCUCGCAGAAGAAGCACCGGCUAACUCCGUGCCAGCAGCCGCGGUAAUUC
rnacentral:rRNA from 1 species